rnacentral:rRNA from 1 species
UACGUAGGUGGCAAGCGUUGUCCGGAUUUAAUGGGAGUAAAGAGUGCGAAGGCGGUAGUUGAAGUUGAGUGUGAAAGCCCCCGGCUCAACUGGGGAGGGUCACGCGAUACUGAUCGACUCGAAGGCAGGAGAGGGUAGUGGAAUUCCCGGUGUAGUGGUGAAAUGCGCAGAUAUCAGGAGGAACACCGGUGGCGAAGGCGGGUCUCUGGGCCGAUACUGACGCUGAGGAGCGAAAGCGUGGGGAGCGAACAGG